rnacentral:rRNA from 1 species
UAUAGAAGUAAAUAUAAAAGCUAAAUUAGUAUUAGUUAUAAUCUUAAAAGUUAAAGAUUUUGGCGGUAUUUUAGUCUUUUCAGAGGAAUCUGUCCUGUAAUUGAUAAUCCACGAUUAAUUAAACUUUUAUUAUUAAUUUGUAUAUCAUCGUGAAUGAAUAUUUUAAAAGAAUAAAUAUUCAAAAUUUAUAAUUUUAAUAAAAAUCAGAUCAAGGUGCAGUUUAUAUAAAAGAAGAGAUGGAUUACAAUAAAUUUAUUUAAAUAGAUAUUUAAAUGAAAUUUUAAAUUGAAAGUGGAUUUGAGAGUAAUUUUAUUAAUUUAAUUAAAAUGAUUUUAGCUCUAAAAUAUGC